GUUGUGUGUCUCGGAUGUACCCAAACAGUCUGACCCUUGAUUUGAAAAGUAUAUGUUUGAGACAGAUGUUGGGAUCCAUGCAAGUGCCUAAAAUCUUUGUGUUUUAUUUGUAAUGUAAUGGCUCCAUGGUAACUAACAAGCUGUUAAUAACCUUUUUUAAGUUAAUUGCCACAAGUUCUCCAAAAUGAUUUUAACCAAAGAUGAUAUUAUAAUUCUAUAAAGGGUAAGUCUUUGUUAAGGACACAACUGCUAUCUUGAACUAUCUUAGUUACUUUGAAAGCAAGAAGUAGUUUUAGAUUUGGGGUAAACAUUUUAGCAAAUUGCUGUUUUAGAAGAGAAAUCUGAGCAUGUGGUUAAGAGCCUUCAUUAAAAGCCAGAGUUGUAAGCCCAGUCUUUAGGUCUCUGCCCUCAACCAGCCUAUUGGAAGCUGCAGGCAUUCCGAAUGGAACCAGAGGACAGAAUGUGGCGGUGACAGUUCACAGCCUUCACCACUCUUCUGGAAAGAUACCUCACAGCAUCAUCCUCAGGUGUAAAUCACUGCUGUGGUGCUGGACAAGAUAAUUUGCUUUUAUAUUUUCUGGAAAGAAAUGCUUUAUUCUAAUCCUAGAAACUUUUAAGUCUCAUCUUUUUAAUAUAUGAUGCAGUGUAAUCUAUUAAUCUUCAUAAAACAAAAUUCUUUGAAACUGCAAUUUAGAAAGAGCAUCGUUUCUUGUCAGACACAGGGAACUUGUGAAAUAAUUUCCAAGCUGUUAGAAAUGGUAAUGAAUAAAAAUGACAUUGAUGACUCCAUGACUUUGGUUUUACUUCUCAUAUGAAAGAAGUAACCCACCUAACAAAGUAGUUGUGAGAGCUGAAAGAAUUCAGAAAUAUGCUUCAUAAAUUCUAAAAUGUAAAAGAAAUGCUUUCAUUUUUGUACAUUUCCCUGACAAUAAAUAGUAGCUAUAAUGCUUGAAAUGGGCCUGACACCUUAUAUGCUGGGACUUGGGAAGAUAACGGAAACAUCUUAAGUAAAUACAUUUUGUUAAUAGAAGCAAGUAGCACAUUAAAGAAAGAUUUACAUACGUUUCUUUAAAAAAAACCCCUCUAUAUUGUGUCUUCUGAACAUGAG
rnacentral:lncRNA from 1 species